GUUUUUAAUCAUGAAAACAAGUUAAUAUAUCGGGCGGUCGUAAAACCUGGAGGGUCAAGGGUCGGUCGCACCUGAACAAACAUACUACCGAGUAGUGAAGUCAUGCUUGGCAGGGUUCAGGACUACAGGCGGUCAAGAUUGAUGCUCGUUGUCACUGAUAGGAAGAAGGAAAUGCUAGGCUUCACUGCAAGCUCAUGUCCUCAUCUCUGGACUCGGCAGGACGCUGCAUAGUUUGGCAGGUCCUAUUCAGGAGGGAAGUCCUGUUAAUGGUGAGAACCAAUGCCACAGAGUCUCUGCAUUCCCAGCAAGAGCAGAGAAAAAGCUGAGGACCGCACUUCCAUCUGGCCUCCAGCCUCAACUCAUGAUUUCUCAGGAACAAAUAAGAGGAAAUGGACAGAUGUGACGCAUAAUACAACACAAAAAUGACAGCGGUCAUCAAUGAUUCGAAACCCCUGUAAAGACAAACUGAGUUUCUCUAACGUGGACUUUUGACAGUCUGGUGUUGGGUUAGGUACUGUUCACUGUUCUCCAUCAAUCGAUUACUUGUUUGGCCUAAAUAAAUGUCAGGAAAUGCUUUAAAAUUGAAAAAAAAGUUAAUAAAGGUAAUAAAGACCUCAUUUAGUCAAAAAGUGGGCUGGUCCAGAUCUGUUAUUUGGUAAAAUGUACAACUUUUAACAAGCAGAACAAAAAUAAGUGAAAUUGGGUGUAAGAUGCACCUACAGGACAGUGGAUCAUUUCUCAGUGUUGGCAUUAGUCAGUUGGUACAGUUUAAAAGGACUGACUUAUACCAAACCUUGUUGGAUUCAACUCUGUUGUUUUGGUGUAAAAAUGUCGGCAUUCAGAGACUGUCGAGAUCUUUUCUUUUCUUUUUUUGUGGUCAUUUCAUGGAACUGAUUCCUUGAACACAAAGCAAAUGACCUCAUGUAGCUUUCUUCUAAUAUUCUACCAAGAAUAAUAUAUUUUACAGUCCACAGACUGGCAGUCGGGUGACGUAAUACUCCACGUUUUUUAAACUGAGUUGCUGAAUUAUAUCAUGACAUAUAAUCAGGGCCCACAUGUCACAAUCAGUCACGUUAACAUGACUGAGUUAGACUUUAAAAGUCGGUUUACGUCCACUUCAACAUUGUCAGGAGCGAUGCUUGUGUAAUUCAUACAAAUUCCUACUGAGCCUCGUAAAUCCUGCUCCUGCAGUAAGUGCCAAUAAUUAUCAAAAUGCGCUUUGAAUUCAUGCUGCUAUAAAAAGAACGUAUGACUAGACAAAAGAAAAAUAACUGAAGCUGGGUGAGAUCCAAACCGACCACUCAAACCUCAUGAAACGCUUUUACACUUGCAUCAAUCAGCUGCCUAAAUCAUCGCUCUCGGCGACAAAGACCUGGCACGGAUGGGCGGCGUCCGUCAUGUGCCGCACUGUGAGUGGUGGGCUGUCCUGUCACUCACAGAGGAAACGAG